UACGGAGGGUGCAAACGUUGCUCGGAAUCAUUGGGCGUAAAGCGCACGUAGGCGGCUCGUUAAGUCGGAUGUGAAAGCCCUCGGCUCAACCGAGGAAGUGCAUACGAAACUGGCGAGCUUGAAUAUGGAAGAGGGUCGCGGAAUUCCCGGUGUAGAGGUGAAAUUCGUAGAUAUCGGGAGGAACACCAGUGGCGAAGGCGGCGAC
rnacentral:rRNA from 1 species